UUAGAUUCUACUUCAAGAGUCUAGGCUCAAGGUUGACUCAGACUUCUAUCCUUCUGAGUAUUAUAAUUCAGCUGCAACUUCUGGAGAGGCUUCAAACAAUUUGGAGGCGGGCUGCAAGAAGAUUUGAGAAGAAAGAUUUCACAAUCCUAGUCUAAGGCGAGCAAAGUUGACUAACAAAGAGUGGAGCGUGACAGAGGAUUCAAAGCUACAGAUGCUGAAGAGGAGAUAAAUUAUGGUCCCUAUUAGCCUGUUUUUCACUCUUUAGAGUUUAGACUCUCUAACUGCCCUAAGAUCUAAUGAAGGAACACUGUGCCAUUCUUCUUUCAAAGGAGAGUCUUCCCUUCUGGCUAAGCUCUGAUGUAGCUUGUUCAGCUUUUGUCUAGCAUGGUGUGAGAAUCCAGCCAAUUCUGUCCUAAUAAAUAACCCAUGAGGAACAGAGUUACAGUGGCAAAUUAUGGCUGACAAAAUGAUGCUAUUAAGUAAAAUGUGGACUUGUC